AACAUGGUUUAGUCCGCUCCGCC
rnacentral:siRNA from 1 species